UGGGGAAUUUUGGACAAUGGGGGAAACCCUGAUCCAGCCAUCCCGCGUGUGCGAUGAAGGCCUUCGGGUUGUAAAGCACUUUUGGCAGGAAAGAAACGUCAUGGGUUAAUACCCCGUGAAACUGACGGUACCUGCAGAAUAAGCACAGGCUAACUACGUGCCAGCAGCCGCGGUAAUACGUAGGGUGCAAGCGUUAAUCGGAAUUACUGGGCGUAAAGCGUGCGCAGGCGGUUCGGAAAGAAAGAUGUGAAAUCCCAGAGCUCAACUUUGGAACUGCAUUUUUAACUACCGGGCUAGAGUGUGUCAGAGGGAGGUGGAAUUCCGCGUGUAGCAGUGAAAUGCGUAGAUAUGCGGAGGAACACCGAUGGCGAAGGCAGCCUCCUGGGAUAACACUGACGCUCAUGCACGAAAGCGUGGGGAGCAAACAGG
rnacentral:rRNA from 1 species